rnacentral:rRNA from 1 species
CACGUAGGGUGCGAGCGUUGUCCGGAAUUAUUGGGCGUAAAGAGCUCGUAGGCGGUGUGUCGCGUCGGCCGUGAAAACCUGCAGCUUAACUGUGGGCUUGCGGUCGAUACGGGCAUCACUGGAGUUCGGCAGGGGAGACUGGAAUUCCUGGUGUAGCGGUGAAAUGCGCAGAUAUCAGGAGGAACACCGGGUGGCGAAGGCGGGUCUCUGGGCCGAUACUGACGCUGAGGAGCGAAAGCGUGGGGAGCGAACAGG